UCCCUCUCAGGAUCACACCUGGAGAGUUUCCAGUACUCUACCAGUCUUGACUAAGGGAGGGAGAGUCAGGCAGAGGCAUACCCAUUCCACUCCUUGCUUGGGCAGCAGAUAGCAAGUGGAAGGCAGUAUGCUACAAGU